rnacentral:rRNA from 1 species
GAUGAACGCUAGCUACAGGCUUAACACAUGCAAGUCGUGGGGCAGCAUGAAGGAAGCUUGCUUCCUUUGAUGGCGACCGGCGCACGGGUGAGUAACGCGUAUCCAACCUUCCCCUUACUAGAGGAUAGCCCGGCGAAAGUCGGAUUAAUACUCUAUGUUCUCCUUUGCAGGCAUCUAACGAGGAGCAAAGAUUCAUCGGUAAGGGAUGGGGAUGCGUCUGAUUAGCUUGCCGGCGGGGUAACGGCCUACCAAGGCAACGAUCAGUAGCCGACUUGAGAGAGUGAUCGGCCACAUUGGGACUGAGACACGGCCCAAACUCC